CUCGCCAAACCCCGGUUUCCUUUAGCCUCCAACCUGCCGAUAACCACCACCAGCAGCUGCUUAUAUCCAUAGUAAAACCUCUUCAACGCAGCCUCCGUCGCCUGCAACCCCUGAAGUAAACUGAUCUGAUCAAAUUCCCUCUUCUCGCUGUACAAUCUCAUCGCCGCCUCCUGUAUCCUGGGUCCACCCUUGGGGUCCACCUCUACGCCUAGAAUCUCCGGAACCUUGUGCUU
rnacentral:misc_RNA from 1 species